rnacentral:rRNA from 1 species
AUUGAACGCUGGCGGCAUGCCUAACACAUGCAAGUCGAGCGAGCGGCGGACGGGUGAGUAAUGUAUGGGGACUGCCCGAUAGAGGGGGAUAACUACUGGAAACGGUAGCUAAUACCGCAUACUAUCGGAUAACCCAUAUGGGAUUAGCUAGUUGGUGAGUUAAUGGCUCACCAAGGCGACGAUCCCUAGCUGGUCUGAGAGGAUGAUCAGCCACACUGGGACUGAGACACUGCCCAGACUCCUACGGAGGCAGCAGUGGGGAAUAUUGCACAAUGGUCGAAAGCCUGAUUCAGCCAUGCCGCGUGUAUGAAGAAGGCCAUAGGGUUGUAAAAUACUUUCAGUCGGGAGGCGUUACCGACAGAAGAAGCACCGGCUAACUCCGUGCCAGCAGCCGCGGUAAUCC